AUCUACAAUGUGGUCUACACUUGGUCUCUCAGAAUCCCAAACCAGACCAAGGCUCACUGUAAGAGAAGAAGGAGAGGAAAAACGGCAAGGUGGAUACUGGAGAUUAAGGAAGACAUGCACGACACAGUGUAUUAACCUUUAUUUUCGCCUACAAUUAGUACUCAUCAUGUCCUGCUAAAAACUAAGUUAUGCAAGGAUAAUAAGUGGUUAUCUACUGGCUUAUUCAUCGCAUCUCACAGGCGCAACUAAUUUGUUGCGCCUGUGAAUUAACAGGUGGAAUUAACAGGUGGCUCUGCUAAAGACAUGCCUUCAGUGUUGGCGACUACAUGACUAACUCACACUGUCAUUAGUCUGUAAAUAAAUAUAUCUUUAUUGAA